rnacentral:rRNA from 1 species
GAUGAACGCUGGCGGCGCGCCUAACACAUGCAAGUCGAACGGCACCCCUCCUCGGAGGGAAGCGAGUGGCGACCGGCUGAGUAACACGUGGAGAACCUGCCCCCUCCCCCGGGAUAGCCGCCCGAAAGGACGGGUAAUACCGGAUACCCCGGGGUGCCGCAUGGCACCCCGGCUAAAGCCCCGACGGGAGGGGAUGGCUCCGCGGCCCAUCAGGUAGACGGCGGGGUGACGGCCCACCGUGCCGACAACGGGUAGCCGGGUUGAGAGACCGACCGGCCAGAUUGGGACUGAGACACGGCCCAGACUCCUACGGGAGGCAGCAGUGGGGAAUCUUGCGCAAUGGGGGGAACCCGGACGCAGCGACGCCGCGUGCGGGACGGAGGCCUUCGGGGCGUAAACCGCUUUCAGCAGGGAAGAGUCAAGACUGUACCUGCAGAAGAAGCCCCGGCUAACUACGUG